AACUGAUUUGUUUAGUUUUAUUAUGAGAUAAAAAUUAGAUAAUAAAUUUAUAGUUAUAAGGUUUUAUUAUUAUAAUUGUAUAUAUACAAAAUUAUUUUUAUAUAUAAAUUUAUUUAUUAAACAAGAAUUAGAUACUCUUUUAUAUAUAAAUUUAUUUGUAACUUCUCAGUUAUAACUGAAAGAAAUUGGCAGCUAAUUAUAUCUUUCUAUGGGAGUGUGUGUUUUAAUAGAUAUUCCACUAAUAAGUUUACUAUAGAUAUAUAUUUGUUAGUGUAUAUCCGGUUUAGUUAUAUAAAACAAUUGUUUUAUAUAGAUAAAUAUAUUUUUUAAUCCAGGUCAAUAUGCUGCUUAUUUUAUAGUUAAUAUUCGCUACAUUAAAAAAAUAUAAAAUGAAAAUUUUAUAUAUUUAGGACUUAGAAGUAUUAUGAAAUUUUAUUUUGUUCGUGAGAAUUAAGUUUAAUUAGGGUA
rnacentral:rRNA from 1 species